GACGAACCGUGCGAACGUUGUUCGGAAUCACUGGGCUUAAAGGGCGCGUAGGCGGAGUGCCAAGUCAGGGGUGAAAUCUUUCGGCCCAACCGGAAAAGAGCCCCUGAUACUGGCAGUCUCGAGGGAGGUAGGGGUCGAGGGAACUUCCGGUGGAGCGGUGAAAUGCGUAGAUAUCGGAAGGAACGCCGGUGGCGAAAGCGCUCGACUGGACCUCUUCUGACGCUGAGGCGCGAAAGCCAGGGGAGCAAACGGG
rnacentral:rRNA from 1 species